UACGAAGGGGGCUAGCGUUGUUCGGAAUUAUUGGGCGUAAAGGGCGCGUAGGCGGCCCGGUAAGUCAAAGGUGAAAUCCCUCGGCUCAACUGAGGAACUGCCUUUGAAACUGUCGGGCUUGAGGCCGGGAGGGGGUAGCGGAAUUCCCAGUGUAGCGGUGAAAUGCGUAGAUAUUGGGAGGAACACCGGUGGCGAAGGCGGCUACCUGGACCGGUUCUGACGCUGAUGCGCGAAAGCGUGGGUAGCAAACAGG
rnacentral:rRNA from 1 species